CAGCAGCCACGGUAAUACGAAGGGUGCAAGCGUUACUCGGAAUUACUGGGCGUAAAGCGUGCGUAGGUGGUGGUUUAAGUCCGUUGUGAAAGCCCUGGGCUCAACCUGGGAAUUGCAGUGGAUACUGGGUCACUAGAGUGUGGUAGAGGAUAGUGGAAUUUCCGGUGUAGCAGUGAAAUGCGUAGAGAUCGGAAGGAACAUCUGUGGCGAAGGCAACUAUCUGGGCCAACACUGACACUGAGGCACGAAAGCGUGGGGAGCAAACAGGAUUAGAGACCCGUGUAGUCCCUGUCUCUUAUAC
rnacentral:rRNA from 1 species